UACAGAGGUCUCAAGCGUUGUUCGGAUUCAUUGGGCGUAAAGGGUGCGUAGGCGGCGCGGUAAGUCGGAUGUGAAAUCUCAGGGCUCAACCCUGAAACUGCAUUCGAUACUGCUUGGCUAGGGUACUGGAGAGGAGACUGGAAUUUACGGUGUAGCAGUGAAAUGCGUAGAUAUCGUAAGGAAGACCAGUGGCGAAGGCGAGUCUCUGGACAGUUACCGACGCUGAGGCACGAAGGCCAGGGGAGCAAACGGG
rnacentral:rRNA from 1 species